ACUUCCUUAGUAUAAUUAGUACAACUGACUUCCAAUCAGUUAGAUCUAGCCAUAAUCUAGAAGAAAGUA
rnacentral:tRNA from 1 species